CGAAGCUCACUUAGUUUAGUAUGUAAUACGGAUACUAGGACAUUAUCAUAGGCUGCAUUUAUAUCUAAGAAAACAGCUGCUGUAGACUGGUUAUUAGAAAAAGAUAAACGGAUAUCAGUUGUUAAAAUACUUAAGCAGUCCAUAGUACUUUUACCUUUUCUAAAACCAUAUUGUGAAGAGGAUAGAAGGCCUUCACUUUCGAUGUACCAUUCUAGACGAUUUUUAAUUAGAUUUUCAGCUAAUUUGAUUAAUACUGAGGACAGUACUAUUGGGCGGUACGAGGAAAUAUCAGAAGGCGCUUUGUUUGGUUUUAAGAAUGGUAACACCAUUUGACGUUUCCAUUCUUCAGGGAUGUUUCCUGUUGUCAUUACGGUAUUAAUCAACUCCAAAUAGUAACUAAGAAUAUUAUCACUCAGAUGUACGAAAAAUGAGUAUGGAAUGCCAUCUAGACCAGGAGCGGAAUCUACAGUAUUUUGCACAAUCCCCUUUAAUUCACUUAGGGAGAACGGGAGGUGUAAUGUAUUAGUUGUAGACUGUUUCGAACUAUCGGCAUUUGUUCCGCACGGUGCACAACAAAUGUUCUGAGGAACCCAUGGUGGAGCCAAAUGGUCCAGGAAGUCAGAGGCUAAAGAAUCAGGAAUAGCAGGCGUCGGCUGUGUAAAAACGGACCUGAAUUUACGAAUAUUUUGCCAAACUAUAGUAGGGUUUGAUCGUCUCUUUGAAAUAGUUGGCAUAGAGAAUGGGCUGGAAAUAACUAUUGGGAAAUGGUCACUGCCAUAUGUAGAAGAAAGGGUAUUCCAGGUUAGUGAAGAAGCUAGAUUAGGAGAACAAAUGGAUAGAUCCACAGCACUGUUAUUCUGAUUAGGGGCUGACCGCCGAGUGGCGAUACCUGUAUUUAAUAUGCAUAGAUUAUGUUGGUCUAUUAUGUCAAGUAAGUCCUGCCCAUAGUUGCUUGAAAUUGAGCAGCCCCAACAUUGGUGGUGGCAAUUUAAAUCUCCCAUUAUAAUUAAAGGUCUUGGAAGAAUAGAGAAGAGAUGGUUGAUCUCAAGAAGUAAAGAAGAAGAAGGGUGAGGAACAUAAAUAGAGACAAGGCAAAGAUUGUAUACUUUAAUAGCAACAAUUGAAAUGUCCUCACUAUGUGGUGGGAAGGAAA